rnacentral:rRNA from 1 species
UUAAAUUGAAGAGUUUGAUCAUGGCUCAGAUUGAACGCUGGCGGCAGGCCUAACACAUGCAAGUCGAACGGUAACAGGAAGCAGCUUGCUGCUUUGCUGACGAGUGGCGGACGGGUGAGUAAUGUCUGGGAAACUGCCUGAUGGAGGGGGAUAACUACUGGAAACGGUGGCUAAUACCGCAUAACGUCGCAAGACCAAAGAGGGGGACCUUCGGGCCUCUUGCCAUCAGAUGUGCCCAGAUGGGAUUAGCUGGUUGGUGAGGUAACGGCUCACCAAGGCGACGAUCCCUAGCUGGUCUGAGAGGAUGACCAGCCACACUGGAACUGAGACACGGUCCAGACUCCUACGGGAGGCAGCAGUGGGGAAUAUUGCACAAUGGGCGCAAGCCUGAUGCAGCCAUGCCGCGUGUAUGAAGAAGGCCU